AGAGUUUGAUCCUGGCUCAGGAUGAACGCUGGCGGCGUGCCUAACACAUGCAAGUCGAGCGAUUUACUUCGGUAAAGAGCGGCGGACGGGUGAGUAACGCGUGGGUAACCUGCCUCAUACACAUGGAUAACAUACCGAAAGGUAUGCUAAUACAAGAUGAUAUAAGAGAUUCGCAUGGAUUUCUUAUCAAAGCUCCGGCAGUAUGAGAUGGACCCGCGUCUGAUUAGCUAGUUGGUAAGGUAACGGCUUACCAAGGCGACGAUCAGUAGCCGACCUGAGAGGGUGAUCGGCCACAUUGGAACUGAGACACGGUCCAAACUCCUACGGGAGGCAGCAGUGGGGAAUAUUGCACAAUGGGCGAAAGCCUGAUGCAGCAACGCCGCGUGAGCGAUGAAGGCCUUCGGGUCGUAAAGCUCUGUCCUCAAGGAAGAUAAUGACGGUACUUGAGGAGGAAGCCCCGGCUAACUACGUGCCAGCAGCCGCGGUAAUACGUAGGGGGCUAGCGUUAUCCGGAUUUACUGGGCGUAAAGGGUGCGUAGGUGGUUUCUUAAGUCAGGAGUGAAAGGCUACGGCUCAACCGUAGUAAGCUCUUGAAACUGGGAAACUUGAGUGCAGGAGAGGAAAGUGGAAUUCCUAGUGUAGCGGUGAAAUGCGUAGAUAUUAGGAGGGACACCAGUAGCGAAGGCGGCUUUCUGGACUGUAACUGACACUGAGGCACGAAAGCGUGGGGAGCAAACAGGAUUAGAUACCCUGGUAGUCCACGCCGUAAACGAUGAGUACUAGGUGUCGGGGGUUACCCCCCUCGGUGCCGCAGCUAACGCAUUAAGUACUCCGCCUGGGGAGUACGCUCGCAAGAGUGAAACUCAAAGGAAUUGACGG
rnacentral:rRNA from 1 species